GUGUUCACUUUGGCAGCACAUGUACUAAAAUUAGAAUGAUACAGAGAAGAUUGGCAUGGCCCCUUGCAAGGAUAACAUGCAAAUUUGUGAAGUGUCCGCAUUAAAAAAUUUUU
ensembl:snRNA U6 U6 spliceosomal RNA